rnacentral:rRNA from 1 species
GGCCUGGCUGGGCGGUCUGCCUAACGGUAUGUACUGUCUGGCUGGGUCUUACCUCUUGGUGAGCUGGCAUGUCCUUAAUUGGAUGUGCCAGGGAACCAGGACUUUUACCUUGAGAAAAUUAGAGUGUUCAAAGCAGGCAUAUGCCCGAAUACAUUAGCAUGGAAUAAUAAAAUAGGACGUGCGGUUCUAUUUUGUUGGUUUCUAGAGUCGCCGUA